UCGAGAAUAGUCUACAAUGGAUGAAAGUCUGAUAGUGCGACGCCGCGUGAACGAAGAGACCUUUCGGGGUGUAAAGUUCUUUUCUGUGCGAGCAGUGGUGGUUACAGUAAUAUGGUGAUCACUUUGAUAUUAGUACAGGAAUAAGCCACGGCUAACUACGUGCCAGCAGCCGCGGUAACACGGGGGUGGCAAGCGUUGUCCGGAAUUACUAGGCGUAAAGGGCAGGUAGGCGGAUCAGUAAGUCGGACGUUUAAUCCUCGGUCUUAAGCUGAGACAUGCGUUUGAUACUGUUUAUCU
rnacentral:rRNA from 1 species